rnacentral:lncRNA from 1 species
GCGACCCCUCGGCCCAGCUUGAGGCCCGGCCUAGGACCGGAGGCGCGACCCCUCGGCCCACCUUGAGGCCCGGCCUAGGACUGGAGGCGCGACCCCUCGGCCCACCUUGAGGCCCGGCCUAGGACCGGAGGCGCGACCCCUGGGCCCACCUUGAGGCCCGGCCUAGGACUGGAGGCGCGACCCCUCGGCCCACCUUGAGGCCCGGCCUAGGACCGGAGGCGCGACCCCUGGGCCCACCUGGCGGCCCGGCCGGCACAGCCCGCCUCUCCUCUCCAGGCCAGGGCCCCACACCUUCCGCCUGACAGCCAGCCAAGCUCUUCAGUCCCCCGCCCUCCACCUGCCAGGGAGGCUCCGGGCGUUGUACCUGCCACCACGGGACACAUAUACUCACAGAAAUGAGUUAUUUAAAGAAGACGGUCCAGAUUCCACAGUCCAAAAAAAAAAGAGGUUUGCCCUGCUUCUGAAGGAGUCAGGGUAUGAAUGCAGAGGUCUUCCUGUUGGCUCACAUAUCAGAUCUUCAACGUCAACAUUAAAUGCGAGUGAUGCUUCCCCCUCUGUGAAUGUGGCUUUGGGUAUGGCUAAUCCACACCCUGCACUCUGGCCUUCAGAAGCCCAGGGAGAGAAGCCUCCCAGAAGCAACCUUCCAGAACCUUCUCCAUCCUCCCACCGACCUCCCCAGCCCCUGUCCUCUCUUUGAAUCUCGUUGUCAAGUUCUUCCCGCAGACACCUGGCUCCUUGAGGGGAGGUGCAGCUUUCAUCUGACCAUGCAGGCGUGCUUUGCAGUGGGUAGAGCAGUGCUUUCCUCCUCCCAGCUGCACACUGGAAUCACCUGGAGAGUCCAGAAACUUCCCGCCUCAGUGAAAGAACAUCAGUGUAUCAGCACAGCAAAUAUUCCAAAUGCCAGGCUGGAUUCCCUCCAAUUACCAGGACCUCCAGGCUUCUCCUCCUUUCAAGAACUUUCUGACCCUGGAUCCAGUCUAAAUGUUGGUUAUAAACUCACCUGACAUCCACAGGGCCCUUCCAAAAUACUGUCAAGGCUGACUGCUGGUGCCUGGAACCUGCACACCCUCCUGGGACUCUGCAUCUCUGCUGGGGCUGGUUUCUCCUCUGAGCCACCUUAAGGAAUCCCACCCUGACCCGGUCAGAGCUCACCAUGCCUCCCUCUCCUACUUGCUCAGCAUUUUGUGUCUAUCUAGACUGAAGCCUUUGCUUUCUCUCUGUGAUUAUGGUGAAAGUUCAGUUUGCUUUCCUAUCUCUAGAAUGUCAGCACGAAGGCAGAGGCAUGGUCUCCUGAGUUCCAUAACCCCAAAGCCUAACUCCCUGCCUGCCACACUGAGGGGCUUAGUAGACAUUGACUUACUAAAUUGAAUAGUUGAGUAAUAAUGCUCUUUGAAAUAAUUUGGAGUUAGAUCUUGAGCCUUGUGUGGCCAGAGGAUGGGUGAGGACACAUCAUAAAAACUAAAGGUAACUGAGCAUGCCAGUGGUUGGGGUGAGAAAUUUGCAUGGAGCACUCCAGACACAGAGGCAGCAAAACCCAAGUGCUGGGAAGUCAGAGUGAGAGAGUGAAGGGGCAGUGAGUGCUUCUUUAGGAGCUGGAUCAAAACCUAAGAUGAUCUGGCCACAUGGUGCAGACUGAGCACACACUUGGGAGAGAAAUGGGCCAGGAGGAGAGGAGAGAGGUUCACCACAGGACAGUGGAUGACUGGGAAUAGAAGCCCUCCCCAUGGUGGACCAAGAAGUCUGUGAAGCUGAGAGAAAGACAAAAGAAAUCACGACUUCUGUAGGUAGCUGGGAUGGAAACCUCAGGGGUGACAGGGUCUUUAAAGGAAAUCUCAAGGAAGGCAUCAUGUUCUGGGUGUGCUCCAGGGAUGCUGAGUAAGAAAAGACCAGCCUUUCUGUGUGUGUCUUUACUCUGCCACAAGGCACCUGGGCUCCUAAAUGACCAAUACACAUGUGCUAUACUGGUGCCAAGAAAGAAGGGUGUUUUGUAGGAAAGUCAAGGUGAGAGGAGGUGCCCAGGACUUGGCUCCUUUCUUUGAAGGGUGACGGUGUAAAUUCUCCAUGCUGGGGAUCCUACUGAUGGAUGGAGGCAUGUCGAUCUCAUCAUUUCACAGAGUGGGGAGCUAUGGCCACAACGUGCCUAUCACACAAGUCCAGCCUCACGUCAGCUGGACACCAGCUGUUCUGACACUUGUCAGCACAUGGGGCACCCGGAAGUUCAUGGUGUUCUGCAAAGAACGCCACAAAACAGUGAGCUCAACUUCUUGAAAGUCAUAAUGUGUUGCUAAGUCCGAUCCCAGAUCCUAAAAAUAAUAUGAGGUAGUGGCCAUUGAACAGAAAAAAUUUACAUCUUAAACUUGAAGAUAAGUACAAGUGUACCUUUUUCUACCACUGUUGUUCAGUUUUAUUAUAUUGACAAGCACCUCUGCCCACCCUGUGGGGUAAAACUGUUUGAAAGUGUUUAUGAAAGUUUUAUAUAAAUAUUGGUUGAUCAAAUGUACAAAAUAUGCAUGAUGGCACCAUAUUGUGUAUAAUAGUGACAAAUACAGUCUAUGUGGGUGGAGAAACAA